UACGGAGGGAGCUAGCGUUAUUCGGAAUUACUGGGCGUAAAGCGCACGUAGGCGGCUUUGUAAGUAAGAGGUGAAAGCCUGGUGCUCAACACCAGAACUGCCUUUUAGACUGCAUCGCUUGAAUCAUGGAGAGGUGAGUGGAAUUCCGAGUGUAGAGGUGAAAUUCGUAGAUAUUCGGAAGAACACCAGUGGCGAAGGCAGCUCGCUGGGACGUGACUGACGCUGAGACGCGAAAGCGUGGGGAGCAAACAGG
rnacentral:rRNA from 1 species